rnacentral:rRNA from 1 species
GACGAACGCUGGCGGCGUGCCUAAUACAUGCAAGUAGAACGCUGAAGCGAGGAGCUUGCUCUUCUUGGAUGAGUUGCGAACGGGUGAGUAACGCGUAGGUAACCUGCCUUGUAGCGGGGGAUAACUAUUGGAAACGAUAGCUAAUACCGCAUAACAAUGGAUGACACAUGUCAUUUAUUUGAAAGGGGCAAUUGCUCCACUACAAGAUGGACCUGCGUUGUAUUAGCUAGUAGGUGAGGUAAUGGCUCACCUAGGCGACGAUACAUAGCCGACCUGAGAGGGUGAUCGGCCACACUGGGACUGAGACACGGCCCAGACUCCUACGGGAGGCAGCAGUAGGGAAUCUUCGGCAAUGGGGGCAACCCUGACCGAGCAACGCCGCGGGAGUGAAGAAGGUUGUCGGAUCGUAAAGCUCUGUUGUAAGUCAAGAACGGGUGUGAGAGUGGAAAGUUCACACUGUGACGGUAGCUUACCAGAAAGGGACGGCUAACUACGUG